rnacentral:rRNA from 1 species
CAAGUCGAACGAGAAGCUCCCUUCGGGGAGUGGAGAGUGGCGCACGGGUGAGUAACACGUGAGCAACCUGCCGGGAAGCCCGGGAUAGCCCUCCGAAAGGAGGAUUAAUACCGUGAUGUGGCCACCCUGCGAUUGCAGGGGAAGCUAAAGGAUUUAUUCACUUCCCGAGGGGCUCGCGGCCCAUCAGCUUGUUGGUGAGGGUAACGGCCCACCAAGGCGACAACGGGUAGCUGGUCUGAGAGGAUGGUCAGCCACACUGGAACUGAGACACGGUCCAGACACCUACGGGUGGCAGCAGUCGAGAAUCAUUCGCAAUGGGGGAAACCCUGACGAUGCGACGCCGCGUGGAGGAUGAAGGCCUUAGGGUUGUAAACUCCUGUCAAGAGGGAAUAAGCAAGUGAAGGUACCUCUAGAGGAAGGGGCGGCUAAUUCCGUGCCAGCAGCCGCGGUAACACGGAAGCCCCGAGCGUUGUUCGGAUUCAUUGGGCGUAAAGGGUGCGUAGGCGGCGCGGAAAGUCCGGCGUGAAAGGCAGGGGCUCAACCUCUGGACUGCGUUGGAUACUUCCGUGCUUGAGGACUGGAGGGGAGACUGGAAUUCACGGUGUAGCAGUGAAAUGCGUAGAUAUCGUGAGGAAGACCGGUGGCGAAGGCGAGUCUCUGGACAGAUCCUGACGCUGAGGCACGAAGGCUGGGGGAGCGAACAGGAUUAGAUACCCUGGUAGUCCCAGCAGUAAACGAUGUGAGCUUGAUGUGGGGGGAUUCGAACCCUUCCGUGUCGAAGCUAACGCGAUAAGCUCACCGGCUGAGGAGUACGGCCGCAAAGGCUAAAACUCAAAGAAAUUGACGGGGACCCGCACAAGCGGUGGAGUAUGUGGCUUAAUUCGAUGCAACGCGAAGAACCUU